CGUGUAGGCGGCAUAGUAAGUCAGAUGUGAAAGCCCUCGGCUUAACCGAGGAAGUGCAUUUGAAACUGCUAAGCUAGAGUACGGGAGAGGGUUGUAGAAUUCCCGGUGUAGAGGUGAAAUUCGUAGAUAUCGGGAGGAAUACCGGUGGCGAAGGCGGCAGCCUGGACCGAUACUGACGCUGAGACGCGAAAGCGUGGGGAGCAAACAGGAUUAGAUACCCUGGUAGUCC
rnacentral:rRNA from 1 species